rnacentral:rRNA from 1 species
UACGUAGGGCGCAAGCGUUUGUCCGGAAUUAUUGGGCGUAAAGAGCUCGUAGGCGGUCUGUCGCGUCUGGUGUGAAAUUCCGAGGCUCAACCUCGGGCUUGCAUCGGGUACGGGCGGACUAGAGUGCUGUAGGGGAGACUGGAAUUCCUGGUGUAGCGGUGGAAUGCGCAGAUAUCAGGAGGAACACCGAUGGCGAAGGCAGGUCUCUGGGCAGUUACUGACGCUGAGGAGCGAAAGCAUGGGGAGCGAACAGG